rnacentral:lncRNA from 1 species
AAAAAAAUUAUGAAUACAUUCAUAAAAUAUAACUAGACAGUGAACACAAUGAAAUACAUGAAAUACAACAAGAUACAUUGAAAUACAAUAAAAAAGACAAUAAAUACAAUGAAAUACAUAGAAAUACGGCGAGAUACAUUGAAAUAUAUUGACAAAAAAUUCAAGUUGUUUAACCCCAAACUUCGUCAUUUUCUUCAAAAACAACCAUAAUAUCGUCUCAACGGAUGAAAAUAAUAAUUCUCUCGGAAAGGGACCUCAAUUUUCACUUUCUUCUUAUCUACCACAUCCUACUCACCGCCAACAAUUUUCCUUAGAACAGGAACCUGAAUUUUCAGUUUGUUUCCUUCUGUAAUUAACGGUGCUGCCAUCCAGAAGUUCAUUAGAAUCCACCAUUAUCAACAAAUUAUUAAGAAAGAUUUUUAUCUACUUAAGCCUGAAGAGAAGUUCUGGAUUGAUUCUUUCUCCAAAAAUUAGGUCGAAUAAUAUAUGAUUCUCUUCAAAUAGAGGUACAUACCAUUCCUACCACAUACUUCAAGAAGUAACAGGAGCAGAUUCGCCAACAGGAAUCAGCCGGAGUUUUCAUUAUCAUAAACUUCAAAACUGUGGAGUUCAAAUCUAUGGCAAAGAGAUGAAAUUCGAAACUAUAUUAACAAAAAUAUUUUUGAGAAGCUCUAUAAAAGAAAGAUGAAGGUGGAAGAUGAGAGAGAGUGGGCAGAAUAGAUAUGAGGUAAGGGAUACGAAAAAUUUAAAGGGAUAGG